rnacentral:lncRNA from 1 species
GCUCCAAUCAGCGUGCGGCUCUCUCGACCCCGCCUUCUUAGGACUCGCGUGGUGCGACCUGACGCUGACACCUCUGCACCAAACCAGCUUCCGUCUGUGCCCACCGGGUGGUCUCUGCCAGGCAGAAUUGGCCAUCAAAGGAUAGGGUCUUUGCCUCGCACGGUUCGCUAAAGGGGGAGAGGAAAUUCUCAGUGGGGAAGGGCAUUUUUAUAUUAAGGGGGAAAGAGACACUCAAUGCUCGCUGUGAAAACAAUACAAAGAAAUUUUACCUGGAAGCGUUGGUGCAAAAUCUCCAAUUCUGCGGCGUCGUGGACGUGCUUAGCGAUUGUGACUCAUACUCCAAGUUCUAAGGAAGGAACAAUAAAGCAUAUGCUAAGGAGAGAUGUGCAGGUAAUCAUAAUGAACUAAAGAGUUGGAGAUAGUUCAUGCCUUCCGCUGGUUGAGACCUAAACAUUCUCAUCUAUGAGCAGCAAGACUGAGACAGCAUUAGCAGAGAUUAUGGGGGAACCAUGCUUGUGUGAAGCAUUUAAGACAAGGUCCUACGGCUGGAUGUACGGCAGAUAACGUGGUGCUUCUCAGCCAACAAGCGGU